rnacentral:rRNA from 1 species
GAUGAACGCUGGCGGCGUGCUUAACACAUGCAAGUCGAACGAAGCAUUUAAGACAGAUUACUUCGGUUUGAAGUCUUUUAUGACUGAGUGGCGGACGGGUGAGUAACGCGUGGGUAACCUGCCUCAUACAGGGGGAUAGCAGCUGGAAACGGCUGGUAAUACCGCAUAAGCGCACAGUACCACAUGGUACAGUGUGAAAAACUCCGGUGGUAUGAGAUGGACCCGCGUCUGAUUAGCUUGUUGGCGGGGUAACGGCCCACCAAGGCGACGAUCAGUAGCCGACCUGAGAGGGUGACCGGCCACAUUGGGACUGAGACACGGCCCAGACUCCUACGGGAGGCAGCAGUGGGGAAUAUUGCACAAUGGAGGAAACUCUGAUGCAGCGACGCCGCGUGAGUGAAGAAGUAGUUCGCUAUGUAAAGCUCCAUCAGCAGGGAAGAUAGUGACGGUACCUGACUAAGAAGCUCCGGCUAAAUACGUG